rfam:Colletotrichum incanum strain MAFF 238704 contig3185, whole genome shotgun sequence.
GGCAGAGUGCCAGAGUGGUUAAUGGGUGUGACUCGAAUUUUGAUCGCAAUCACAUGGCUUCGGCCGCGUGAGUUCAAAUCUCAUCUCUGUCG